UCAAACUUGGUCAUUUAGAGGAAGUAAAAGUCGUAACAAGGUUUCCGUAGGUGAACCUGCGGAAGGAUCAUUAUUGAAACUUCAUCCGGGGCGCCGCGGCCCUCAGCACCGGUGGAAACGCCGUGUCGCGGGGGCCGCGUGUGCACUCGUCCAAACCAAACCCCUGUGAACCUUUCGGGAGGGCUCGGGUUAACGCCCGGGCCGUCCCGCUUAUACAAACACUUAUUUAAGAAUGAACUGAAGGCGGUCUGACCGCUGGAUAACAAACUGAAACAACUUUCAACAACGGAUCUCUUGGCUCUCGCAUCGAUGAAGAACGCAGC
rnacentral:misc_RNA from 1 species